rnacentral:rRNA from 1 species
GUGGAUUAGAUACCCGGGUAGUCCACGCCCUAAACGAUGUCGACUAGUUGUUCGGAGGGUAAAACCUUUGAGUAACGUAGCUAACGCGUGAAGUCGACCGCCUGGGGAGUACGGCCGCAAGGUUAAAACUCAAAGGAAUUGACGGGGACCCGCACAAGCGGUGGAUGAUGUGGAUUAAUUCGAUGCAACGCGAAAAACCUUACCUACCCUUGACAUGUCAGGAACUUUCCAGAGAUGGAUUGGUGCCCGAAAGGGAGCCUGAACACAGGUGCUGCACGGCCGUCGUCAGCU